CAGUCGACGCGUUGGCCCAAUUGAUUGAUGGUGCUUGCACCUGAUUGAUUUUGGUCGCCAACGAGUGGCGGACGGGUGAGUAACACGUAGGUAACCUGCCCAGAAGCGGGGGACAACAUUUGGAAACAGAUGCUAAUACCGCAUAACAGCGUUGUUCGCAUGAACAACGCUUAAAAGAUGGCUUCUCGCUAUCACUUCUGGAUGGACCUGCGGUGCAUUAGCUUGUUGGUGGGGUAACGGCCUACCAAGGCGAUGAUGCAUAGCCGAGUUGAGAGACUGAUCGGCCACAAUGGGACUGAGACACGGCCCAUACUCCUACGGGAGGCAGCAGUAGGGAAUCUUCCACAAUGGGCGCAAGCCUGAUGGAGCAACACCGCGUGAGUGAAGAAGGGUUUCGGCUCGUAAAGCUCUGUUGUUAAAGAAGAACACGUAUGAGAGUAACUGUUCAUACGUUGACGGUAUUUAACCAGAAAGUCACGGCUAACUACGUGCCAGCAGCCGCGGUAAUACGUAGGUGGCAAGCGUUAUCCGGAUUUAUUGGGCGUAAAGAGAGUGCAGGCGGUUUUCUAAGUCUGAUGUGAAAGCCUUCGGCUUAACCGGAGAAGUGCAUCGGAAACUGGAUAACUUGAGUGCAGAAGAGGGUAGUGGAACUCCAUGUGUAGCGGUGGAAUGCGUAGAUAUAUGGAAGAACACCAGUGGCGAAGGCGGCUACCUGGUCUGCAACUGACGCUGAGACUCGAAAGCAUGGGUAGCGAACAGGAUUAGAUACCCUGGUAGUCCAUGCCGUAAACGAUGAGUGCUAGGUGUUGGAGGGUUUCCGCCCUUCAGUGCCGGAGCUAACGCAUUAAGCACUCCGCCUGGGGAGUACGACCGCAAGGUUGAAACUCAAAGGAAUUGACGGGGGCCCGCACAAGCGGUGGAGCAUGUGGUUUAAUUCGAAGCUACGCGAAGAACCUUACCAGGUCUUGACAUCUUGCGCCAACCCUAGAGAUAGGGCGUUUCCUUCGGGAACGCAAUGACAGGUGGUGCAUGGUCGUCGUCAGCUCGUGUCGUGAGAUGUUGGGUUAAGUCCCGCAACGAGCGCAACCCUUGUUACUAGUUGCCAGCAUUAAGUUGGGCACUCUAGUGAGACUGCCGGUGACAAACCGGAGGAAGGUGGGGACGACGUCAGAUCAUCAUGCCCCUUAUGACCUGGGCUACACACGUGCUACAAUGGACGGUACAACGAGUCGCGAACUCGCGAGGGCAAGCAAAUCUCUUAAAACCGUUCUCAGUUCGGACUGCAGGCUGCAACUCGCCUGCACGAAGUCGGAAUCGCUAGUAAUCGCGGAUCAGCAUGCCGCGGUGAAUACGUUCCCGGGCCUUGUACACACCGCCCGUCACACCAUGAGAGUUUGUAACACCCAAAGUCGGUGGG
rnacentral:rRNA from 2 species